ACACCCUGUGAUUAUAUAAAGACGCGUUAUUCUGAGGGAAUCCACUGGAUGGCAGUUUUCUACCUACUUAUCUACCCAUCUUCUUUACCUCUUCCUUUAAACUCUUCUUCUAUCCCUCACUCUUCAACUGUCAGCCAGUCCACUGACUGCGAUUAUGAGAUAUGAGGGUGU